AUAAAGUUUUAUUUUAGCUUAUAAGUUUGUUAUUAAUUUAAUUUAUAUGUAAAUUUUUGUAAGAAUAUUUAUUUAUUUAAAUAAUAAUAAAAAAAUUAUUAAUUCGCAAUAAUUAAUAUUAUUAAUUAAAGAAAUUUAGAAAAAGUAAUAUUAAAAAGUAUUGACUAAAUUUGUGCCAGCAGUCGCGGUUAUACAAAUAAUACAAAUAAAUUUUAUUUAUUUAAGUUAAAUAAUUUAAUUAAAAAAAAAGUAAAUUUAUUAGGUGAAAUUAUUAAAUUUAUAUUUUUUUUAUUAAAAAUAAUUGAAGCUUAAAAAUUUUAUUAAUAAACUAGGAUUAGAUACCCUAUUAUAGAAAAUGUAAAUUUAAAAAUUAAGGUAGUAAUAGAUAUAUUCUUGAAACUUAAAAAAUUUGGCGGUAUUUUAGUCUAUUCAGAGGAACCUGUUUUAUAAUCGAUAAUCCACGAUGGACCUUACUUAUUUUAGUUAACAGUUUAUAUACCGUCGUUAUUAGAAUAUUUUAUAAAAAUGUUAAUAUUCUAAAUUUAAUAAAAUAAAAUAUAUCAGAUCAAGGUGUAGCUUAUAUUUAAGUAAAAAUGGGUUACAAUAAAAUUAUUUAAAUGAAUAUAAAUUUGAAAUAUUUAUUGAAAGUGGAUUUGAAAGUAAAAUUAUAAAGAUUAAUAAUUUGAUUUUAGCUCUAAAAUAUGUACACAUCGCCCGUCACUCUUAUUAUUAAGGUAAGAUAAGUCGUAACAUAGUAGAUGUACUGGAAAGUGUAUCUAGAAUGC
rnacentral:ncRNA from 1 species